rnacentral:rRNA from 1 species
ACGUAGGUGGCAAGCGUUGUCCGGAAUUAUUGGGCGUAAAGCGCGCGCAGGCGGUCCUUUAAGUCUGAUGUGAAAGCCCACGGCUCAACCGUGGAGGGUCAUUGGAAACUGGGGGACUUGAGUGCAGAAGAGGAAAGUGGAAUUCCACGUGUAGCGGUGAAAUGCGUAGAGAUGUGGAGGAACACCAGUGGCGAAGGCGACUUUCUGGUCUGUAACUGACGCUGAGGCGCGAAAGCGUGGGGAGCAAACAGGA